rnacentral:rRNA from 1 species
CCUACGGGAGACAGCAGUGAGGAAUAUUGGUCAAUGGACGAGAGUCUGAACCAGCCAAGUAGCGUGAAGGAUGACUGCCCUAUGGGUUGUAAACUUCUUUUAUAUGGGAAUAAAAUGUUCCACGUGUGGGAUUUUGUAUGUACCAUAUGAAUAAGGAUCGGCUAACUCCGUGCCAGCAGCCGCGGUAAUACGGAGGAUCCGAGCGUUAUCCGGAUUUAUUGGGUUUAAAGGGAGCGUAGGUGGAUUGUUAAGUCAGUUGUGAAAGUUUGCGGCUCAACCGUAAAAUUGCAGUUGAAACUGGCAGUCUUGAGUACAGUAGAGGUGGGCAGAAUUCGUGGUGUAGCGGUGAAAUGCUUAGAUAUCACGAAGAACUCCGAUUGCGAAGGCAGUUCACUGGACUGCAACUGACACUGAGGCUCGAAAGUGUGGGUAUCAAACAGGAUUAGAUACCCCGGUAGUC